rnacentral:lncRNA from 1 species
CGACGAGUUCGCUUCUGUUCCUCCUGUUUCUCCUUCUGCUCCUUUUGUUCCUUCGGCCCAUGGCUUUUCUGUAUUACCAGCCGCGCCUCACCGCACGCGGACCCACCGCAAAACGCAAGCGCACGACCAAACCACGCACGCACGUGCGUGUCCCGCGACUUUGCUCGUGUACAACCCGAUCUUAAUGGGUUCUAAUGAAGUAUCAGUGGAAGUUGUGAAUCUGACAGUCAUACAAGAAGACUGGUAAGAAUAUAACCCAAUCUGCAGAACUACCUAACAGACCAUGUUGCAAGAAAAUCGCGGGAGAUCCAGGUUUCCCUGGAAUCCGAUGCA